rnacentral:rRNA from 1 species
GGGCUUGCGGACCAUUAGCUAGUUGGUGAGGUAACGGCUCACCAAGGCUACGAUGGAUAGCCGGCCUAAGAGGGUGAUCGGCCACAUUGGGACUGAGAGACGGCCCAGACUCCUACGGGAGGCAGCAGUAGGGAAUUUUGCGCAAUGGACGAAAGUCUGACGCAGCAACGCCGCGUGAGGGAUGACGGCCUUCGGGUUGUAAACCUCUGUUGAGUGGGAAGAAAAGCUUUGUGGUUAAUAUCCACAGAGUCUGACGGUACCACUCGAGGAAGCUCCGGCUAACUACGUGCCAGCAGCCGCGGUAAUACGUAGGGGGCUAGCGUUGUUCGGAAUCACUGGGCGUAAAGGGAGUGUAGGCGGACCGGUAAGUUAGGAGUUAAAUGUACGGGCUCAACCCGUGAUCUGCUUUUAAUACUGUCGGUCUUGAGUAUGGGAGAGGGAGAUGGAAUUCCAGGUGUAGCGGUGGAAUGCGUAGAUAUCUGGAAGAACACCAGUUGCGAAGGCGGUCUCCUGGACCAAUACUGACGCUGAUGCUCGAAAGCUGGGGGAGCGAACAGGAUUAGAUACCCUGGUAGUCCCAGCCGUAAACGAUGGACACUAGUUGCCGGAGGAGUCAAUCCCUUCGGUGACGAAGCUAACGCAUUAAGUGUCCCCGCCUGGUGAGUACGCUCGCAAGGGUGAAACUCAAAGGAAUUGUCCGGGGGCCCGCACAAGCGGUGGAGCAUGUGCUNUAAUUCGAUGGCAACGCGAAGAACCUUACCUGGGUUUGACAUGGGGGUGAAAGUUUCCAGAGAUGGAAGCCUUUCCUUCGGGAACACCCCACACAGGUGCUGCAUGGUUGUCGUCAGCUCGUGUCGUGAGAUGUUGGGUUAAGUCCCGCAACGAGCGCAACCCCUGCCCUUAGUUGCCAUCAGGUAAAGCUGGGAACUCUAAGGGGACAGCUUGGUAUAACCAGGAGCAAGGUGGGGAUGACGUCAAAUCAUCAUGGCUCUUACGCCCAGGGCUAGACACGUGCUACAAUGGCAGGUACAGUGGGAUGCCAACCUGCGAAGGUGAGCUAAUCCACUUAAACCUGUCUCAGUCCGGAUUGGAGUCUGCAACUCGACUCCAUGAAGUUGGAAUCGCUAGUA